CGCAGAGUGUCUGCCUAUCAGGGCAGGUAAUGCGGCAUGCCGGUCACAAGCCCGG
rnacentral:ribozyme from 2 species